rnacentral:rRNA from 1 species
GUUGACCUCGGAUCAGGUAGGGAUACCCGCUGAACUUAAGCAUAUCAAUAAGCGGAGGAAAAGAAACCAACAGGGAUUACCUCAGUAACGGCGAGUGAAGCGGUAACAGCUCAAAUUUGAAAUCUGGGUCUUUCAGGCUCCGAGUUGUAAUUUGUAGAAGAUGCUUUGGGUGCGGCCCCGGUCUAAGUUCCUUGGAACAGGACGUCAUAGAGGGUGAGAAUCCCGUAUGUGAUCGGUGGCCUGCGCCCGUGUAAAGCUCUUUCGACGAGUCGGGUUGUUUGGGAAUGCAGCUCUAAAUGGGUGGUAAAUUUCAUCUAAAGCUAAAUACUGGCCAGAGACCGAUAGCGCACAAGUAGAGUGAUCGAAAGAUGAAAAGGACUUUGGAAAGAGAGUUAAACAGUACGUGAAAUUGUUGAAAGGGAAGCGCUUGCAACCAGACUUGCGCGGGGUUGAUCAUCCGGGGUUCUCUCCGGUGCACUCGGCCUCGCUCAGGCCAGCAUCGGUUUCGGUGGUUGGAUAAAGGCCUUGGGAAUGUGGCUCCUCUCGGGGAGUGUUAUAGCCCUCGGUGCAAUGCAGCCUACUGGGACCGAGGACCGCGCUUCGGCUAGGAUGCUGGCGUAAUGGUUGUAAGCGAC